CAUAGGACCUCCAAAAUGUUCUCUCUUGCUUUCCAUCUUCAAGAACAUAGGAAAUUGAAGGAGUUCGUCGAACUGAUUCAAGUAAAGAGUUCUUUGGUUGCACUAGUAAAGUUUCUUGUGGAUCGAAGUUCAUAGUGGAAGGAUUGAUCCCUCAUAGUCAAAUGGUUGACAAUCGAGUUGGAUAAAAUGUUGAUGCAGUCCCAAUUGUGGCAACCACACUAGAUACUAUUGUUGCAGGUUCGUCAAUUACAAAGCCAAUCAGUUUGUGGCCAGACCAUAGGAGCUCCAAAACGUUCUCUCUUGCUUUCCAUCUUCAAGAACAUAGGAAUUGAAGGAGUUCGUCGAACUGAUUCAAGUGAAGAGUUCUUUGGUUGCACUAGUAAAGUUUCUUGUAGAUUGAAGUUCAUAGUGGAAGGAUUGAUCCCUCAUAGUCAAAUGGUUGAGAAUCGAGUUGGAUAAAAUGUUGAUGCAGUCCCAGUUGUGGCAACCGUACUAGAUACCAUUGAUGCAGCUUCGUCAAUUACAAAGCCAAUCAGUUUGUGGCCAGGUAUAGACAAUCAGUUUGACGGACCCUCAUAGUACACGAGAUUG